rnacentral:rRNA from 1 species
AUGAACGCUGGCGGCGUGCCUAAUACAUGCAAGUCGAGCGAACAGAUGAGGAGCUUGCUCCUCUGACGUUAGCGGCGGACGGGUGAGUAACACGUGGAUAACCUACCUAUAAGACUGGGAUAACUUCGGGAAACCGGAGCUAAUACCGGAUAAUAUAUUGAACCGCAUGGUUCAAUAGUGAAAGACGGUUUUGCUGUCACUUAUAGAUGGAUCCGCGCCGCAUUAGCUAGUUGGUAAGGUAGCGGCUUACCAAGGCAACGAUGCGUAGCCGACCUGAGAGGGUGAUCGGCCACACUGGAACUGAGACACGGUCCAGACUCCUACGGGAGGCAGCAGUAGGGAAUCUUCCGCAAUGGGCGAAAGCCUGACGGAGCAACGCCGCGUGAGUGAUGAAGGUCUUCGGAUCGUAAAACUCUGUUAUUAGGGAAGAACAAAUGUGUAAGUAACUAUGCACGUCUUGACGGUACCUAAUCAGAAAGCCACGGCUAACUACGUG